rnacentral:rRNA from 1 species
UGGGGAAUAUUGGACAAUGGGCGAAAGCCUGAUCCAGCAAUGCCGCGUGAGUGAAGAAGGCCUUAGGGUUGUAAAGCUCUUUCACCCGCGACGAUGAUGACGGUAGCGGGAGAAGAAGCCCCGGCUAAUUCCGUGCCAGCAGCCGCGGUAAUACGGAAGGGGCUAGCGUUGUUCGGAAUCACUGGGCGUAAAGCGCGCGUAGGCGGCCGGUCAAGUGCGGCGUGAAAGUCCUGGGCUCAACCCGGGGACGGCGCUGCGGACUGUCCGGCUGGAGUCCGGAAGAGGGUGGUGGAAUUCCGAGUGUAGAGGUGAAAUUCGUAGAUAUUCGGAGGAACACCGGUGGCAAGGCGGCCACCUGGUCCGGUACUGACGCUCAAGCGCGAAAGCGUGGGGAGCAAACAGG